rnacentral:rRNA from 1 species
AGAGUUUGAUCCUGGCUCAGGAUGAACGCUAGCGGCAGGCCUAACACAUGCAAGUCGAGGGGUAGCAGGAUAAAGCUUGCUUUAUUGCUGACGACCGGCGCACGGGUGCGUAACGCGUAUGCAACCUACCUUAUACUGGGGUAUAGCCCGGAGAAAUUCGGAUUAAUCCCCCAUAGUAUUAUCGGAUCGCAUGGUUUGAUAAUUAAAGGUUACGGUAUAAGAUGGGCAUGCGUCCCAUUAGCUAGAUGGUGAGGUAACGGCUCACCAUGGCGACGAUGGGUAGGGGGCCUGAGAGGGUGGUCCCCCACACUGGUACUGAGACACGGACCAGACUCCUACGGGAGGCAGCAGUGAGGAAUAUUGGUCAAUGGGCGCAAGCCUGAACCAGCCAUGCCGCGUGCAGGAAGACGGUCCUAUGGAUUGUAAACUGCUUUUAUUCGGGAAUAAACCUCCUUACGUGUAGGGAGCUGAAGGUACCGAAUGAAUAAGCACCGGCUAACUCCGUGCCAGCAGCCGCGGUAAU